rnacentral:lncRNA from 1 species
GCCCCCCCCGCCUUUUGCAUGAAGUAGGAUCCUUGAGCUGUUGCAGAGGCAGCCAACUGCUCCAUAUUUGGCUUCUAUUACCCAUUUACAUGCUGGAGAGCGGAGAGGGAGCGAGCGCUGUACCGCAGACAUCAUUUCUACUACAGUGGUGGAGACAUCCCGGACCUGUGUCACUGCAGGGGGAAGGAAAAAAGCCAAACAAACAAAAAGCAGACCCAAGCCCCGUGAUCAGCUAGGAAGACAUUUGUGUGCCAGUCUCUCUCUGACCCCCCCACCCCCGCCAACCCCACCUCCACUGACACUUUACAUCACAUUGCAGGCCAAGCCAGAUGGGCAAGCAAUACAAGCUGUGAAUUUAUUCUUGACCCCGUAG